rnacentral:rRNA from 1 species
GAACGCUGGCGGCGUGCUUAACACAUGCAAGUCGAACGGAAAGGCCCUGCUUUUGUGGGGUGCUCGAGUGGCGAACGGGUGAGUAACACGUGAGUAACCUGCCCUUGACUUUGGGAUAACUUCAGGAAACUGGGGCUAAUACCGGAUAGGAGCUCCUGCUGCAUGGUGGGGGUUGGAAAGUUUCGGCGGUUGGGGAUGGACUCGCGGCUUAUCAGCUUGUUGGUGGGGUAGUGGCUUACCAAGGCUUUGACGGGUAGCCGGCCUGAGAGGGUGACCGGCCACAUUGGGACUGAGAUACGGCCCAGACUCCUACGGGAGGCAGCAGUGGGGAAUAUUGCACAAUGGGCGGAAGCCUGAUGCAGCAACGCCGCGUGCGGGAUGACGGCCUUCGGGUUGUAAACCGCUUUCGCCUGUGACGAAGCGUGAGUGACGGUAAUGGGUAAAGAAGCACCGGCUAACUACGU